rnacentral:tRNA from 1 species
GCCCGGCUGGCUCAGUUGGUAGAACAUGUGACUGUUGAUCUCAGAGUUGUGAGAUUGAGUCUCAUGUUGGGUG